AGACCCGAAACCCGGUGAUCUAGCCAUGGGCAGGUUGAAGGUUGGGUAACACUAACUGGAGGACCGAACCGACUAAUGUUGAAAAAUUAGCGGAUGACCUGUGGCUGGGGGUGAAAGGCCAAUCAAACCGGGAGAUAGCUGGUUCUCCCCGAAAGCUAUUUAGGUAGCGCCUCGUGAAUUCAUCUCCGGGGGUAGAGCACUGUUUCGGCUAGGGGGCCAUCCCGGCUUACCAACCCGAUGCAAACUGCGAAUACCGGAGAAUGUUAUCACGGGAGACACACGGCGGGUGCUAACGUCCGUCGUGAAGAGGGAAACAACCCAGACCGCCAGCUAAGGUCCCAAAGUCAUGGUUAAGUGGGAAACGAUGUGGGAAGGCCCAGACAGCCAGGAUGUUGGCUUAGAAGCAGCCAUCAUUUAAAGAAAGCGUAAUAGCUCACUGGUCGAGUCGGCCUGCGCGGAAGAUGUAACGGGGCUAAACCAUGCACCGAAGCUGCGGCAGCGAACGUAUCACCCAAGACAACUUUACGGAGUUGACGAUUGACGGAGCGAAGCGACGUCAAAGCGUUCAUUAAAGUCGAGUUGGCUUAGGGAUACGUUCGUUGGGUAGGGGAGCGUUCUGUAAGCCUGUGAAGGUGUGUCGUGAGGCAUGCUGGAGGUAUCAGAAGUGCGAAUGCUGACAUAAGUAACGAUAAAGCGGGUGAAAAGCCCGCUCGCCGGAAGACCAAGGGUUCCUGUCCAACGUUAAUCGGGGCAGGGUGAGUCGACCCCUAAGGCGAGGCCGAAAGGCGUAGUCGAUGGGAAACGGGUUAAUAUUCCCGUACUUGGUGUUACUGCGAAGGGGGGACGGAGAAGGCUAUGUUGGCCGGGCGACGGUUGUCCCGGUUUAAGCGUGUAGGUGUGUGUUCCAGGUAAAUCCGGUUCACUUUAACACUGAGGCGUGAUGACGAGGCACUACGGUGCUGAAGCAACAAAUGCCCUGCUUCCAGGAAAAGCCUCUAAGCAUCAGGUAACAU
rnacentral:rRNA from 2 species